UAGUUACAAUUUUGUAAGUAUAAUGAAAUGCUGUAAACAUAAUGGACUAGACCCUGCUGUGUCCAAGAUGGUUUGCUAUUAACAGCAAUGCCACGUCUGGGUAUCUGUUCAAAAUAAUUGAAAGCAGGAUCUCAAGGAGGUAUUUGUGUAUCCAUGUUCCUGGCAGCACUAUUCACAAUAUCUAAGAGGUAGAAACAACCCAAAUAUCCAUUGGCAGAUGAGUGGAUAAACAAUAUAUAGUAUAUAUGUACAAUGAAAUGUUAUUCAACCUUAAAAAAAGUAAAUCCUGCCAUGUGUGACAACAUAGAUGAACCUUGAGGACGUUAAAAUAAGUGAAAUAAAUAAAUCAUAGAAUGACAAAUAUUGCAUGAUACCACUUAUAUAUCUUAAACAUUCAAAUUCACAGAAUCAAAUAAUAGAAUGGUGGUUGCCAGGAGCUGGAAAGAGAGAGAAAUGGGGAGCCCUAAUCAAGUGAUAUAAAAUUUCAGUUAUAAAAGAUGAAUAGGUUCUAGAGAUCUGCUGUACAAUAUUGUUUCUACAAAUGAUAAUACUGCAUUGUAUACUUUUUAAGCUGUUAAGAGGGUAGGUUGCAUAUUAGGUGUUCUUACAAUUUUUUCAAAAAAAAUGAACUCAAUACAAAAAAAUAAUGUAAAAGAAGCAUAAAAUAUAUCUAAGAAAAUUAGGAAACAUGAGUAAUAUAAGGCAAAACCAAGACAUCAUAAAAACAAAAAAAAAUUUGAAAUGAACAGGAUAAUAGGAAUUAAAAAAUAAAGA
rnacentral:lncRNA from 1 species